rnacentral:rRNA from 1 species
AGAGUUUGAUCCUGGCUCAGGAUGAACGCUGGCGGCAUGCCUAAGACAUGCAAGUCGAACGAGAUGGCCCAGUGAAGGUUGAGUGCUUGCACAAGACUGAAUCUGGAUUCCCAUCUAGUGGCAGACGGGUGAGUAACACGUGGGUGACCUACCUUUUCGUUGGGGAUAACAGUUGGAAACGAUUGCUAAUACCGAAUAAAAUGUAAGAGUCAAUUUUACAUUGAAAGGAGCCUUUAAAGCUUCGCGAUUAGAUGGGCCUGCGGCGUAUUAACUAGUUGGUGAGGUAAUGGCUUACCAAGGUGACGAUGCGUAGCCGAACUGAGAGGUUGAUCGGCCACAUUGGGACUGAGACACGGCCCAAACUCCUACGGGAGACAGCAGUUAGGAAUAUUCGUCAAUGGAGGAAACUCUGAACGAGCAAUGCCGCGUGAGUGAUGAAGGUCUUAUAGAUUGUAAAACUCUGUUGUAUGGAAAAAACGACUAGGUUAGGAAAUGAACUUAGUGUGAUGGUACCAUACCAGAAAGCCCCGGCUAACUACGUGCCAGCAGCCGCGGUAAUACGUAGGGGGCGAGCGUUAUCCGGAUUUAUUGGGCGUAAAGCGUGUGUAGGCGGUUUAUUAAGUUUAAGAUUAAAGCCCGGGGCUCAACUCCGGUAAGUCUUAAAAACUGGUAGACUUGAGUACGGUAGAGGCAAGCGGAAUUUCUAGUGUAGCGGUGAAAUGCGUAGAUAUUAGAAGGAACACCAGUGGCGAAAGCGGUUUGCUGGGCCGUUACUGACGCUGAGGCACGAAAGCGUGGGGAGCAAAUAGGAUUAGAUACCCUAGUAGUCCACGCCGUAAACGAUGAG